CGUUCGGCUCAUUCGCGGCUGUUCAAUGAAUAAACAUGUCGGACCAUACAUAUCGACAAGUCCGUUUUUCAGCUGCUGAGGUGGCAGAAAUGUGUUGUCAACACAUAAAUGAUGACAAUAGCAGUGAAGACAGUGAAAUAGGUGGCUUAUCUAGUGGAAAAGAGUACAAGUUGGACCGUGAACUGGAUGAAGACUUUCGUGACUCUGACUCCGACGACGACUAGCUGCUGCUACGGCGACAACAACACAGAAAGCCUAAUGACAUUUAAACUCAACAUUCUCCUGGUUCUGCCACCGACUCAGAGGAGGAUGACCCUGACCCUUGAACCUGAAAGGACCAGAAGGAAUGCCAGAGCGACCGUGCCAAGGGAGAGCUGCACAUCCAGUGAAUCAACCUGUUGUCCAGACAUAUAGCUAUGAUGAUCCAGACAUGCUCAACCAGUUGCCAUCUGUCCGUCCUGUACGCCAGCCUGGCAUUCACCUAGAUGUACAAGUAACACGAGGUACCAUGACCAAAGCCAUAGAUUUUUAAAAACUUUUUUCUACAGAUGCCCUCCUGCUACAAAUGCACCUACACAAAUGCUUAUGCCUAGGAGGAAAUCCUCAGAAAGCCCUAUUAUGGUGGCACAGAUGGUACAAGGAAAGAAACUAGUCCAGAUGAAUUGGCACGACUGAUGGCCCUUGUAAUGUUUUGUGGCCUUGUCCCAGUCAGUUCUUUUUACAGAUACUGGAGCCCCAAAACCAUGUACCAUGGCCUGUGGGCACGCAGCAUAAUGUCAAGAGACCGGUUCAAAGCAUUGAUGCCAAUGCUCCAUGUUGUAGAUACUGGUGCUGAAGAUGAACGUGAUAAACUGCAAAAUCACUGGCCUGUUAGAGACUUUCAAGGUGACGUGUAGUAAAGCACUUUACCAACCAUUCCAGCAUGUUGCUGUGGAAUGGUGAAAUCAAAACAUAGUUUAUGCUUCUAUACAAAACCCUGGGGAAUUUGUCACUGAUCAUAUUCCUUGGGUACUGUUUAUAGUGAUUGACAAGAGAUUAUUGUUUAUUGCACAUGAAAGCAGGAGGCACUUUCCAUUACCAUUGAUCUGACAUUGAGUGUUCAUUCACUAUUGAUUGUUUAUUGGAAAUGCACUUACCAAUGAAUUUACAUUUAUUGUUGAC